rnacentral:rRNA from 1 species
UACGUAGGGCGCAAGCGUUGUCCGGAAUUAUUGGGCGUAAAGAGCUCGUAGGCGGCCUGUUGCGUCCGCUGUGAAAUCCCGGGGCUCAACCCCGGGCCUGCAGUGGAUACGGGCUGGCUAGAGGCAGGCAGGGGAGAACGGAAUUCCUGGUGUAGCGGUGAAAUGCGCAGAUAUCAGGAGGAACACCGGUGGCGAAGGCGGUUCUCUGGGCCUGUACUGACGCUGAGGAGCGAAAGCGUGGGGGGCGAACAGG